UCAGACUCGGCACUGUGGCUUCAGACUCUGGGGGCUGUCACCUUCCGCAGCAAUGACAUGUGCUCAGAGUAAAGAUUCUUUGAAAUCAGUGGCAACUAUUUCCAGGAGGAGAUGCUUGUUACUCAUUUAUUUUUUAAGUUUGCCAACAGAAGCCUUAAGUCUUCCCGAAGCGACUGCUCCUGAAGUACGGUGUGCCUCCCUCCUGGAGGCAAUGUGAUAUCGUGAAAACGAGAGAGGGUUUUGCAAGCAGAUGGGCUCUGUGUCCUGCCUGCCUCUGACUCCCUCCAGCUGUGACGGAAGAGGGAGACCUUCCAGUUUUGCUGAGACAUAAGAGACUUUGGUAUCACUGCUGCCAUGGUGACAGCUGUUGCCGCCUCCGCUGCUGCCGUCGCUGCCGCUGCUACUGCACUUGCCAUUGCUAUUCCUACAGCCAAGGAGAUUAAUCAACUGUCUAGGAAUACCGCAGAAGCUCUACAAACCCAGAGUGAAAUUAAUGGUCAUCUCCGUGCGGGUAUUCUUUUUGCUAAUCAGCGGAUUGACUUGCUACAAGAACAAAUGGACAUUGUAAUACAACUACUGACUGUAGGAUACCUUCGCUCAGAUACUGGACUCUGCAUUACUCCAGUUGCAUAUGAUAACCUCACUCGAGCAGCUACUUAUUCCAGGGAACUAUCCAAGAUGCUUACAGGCAACUGGAGUGCCAGAUUCGAGAAUCUAACAAUACAGCUUCGUGCUAAUAUUGUUAACGUUAAUGCCAGUAAGGUAGAAGUAGCUUCAGUAUCUCAAUUUGUUGCCUUUAUGAAAAAUGUUGUAGGAUGGGGGAAGCAAUGGUUUGGGUUCAUAUCCAUGGGUGGAUUGCUGAUAUUCGCUGUGGUGUGUUGCUUAUGGUGCAUUUGCCCCAUGAUGAGGAUUCGUAAAAGAGACACCAUUGUCAUCAAACAAGCUCUGUUAUCCAUUGAGUCCGGACAGUCGCCCCAGGUAUGGCUCAGUAUGCUGGAUCGGAAGUCAAAGACGGGUAAGAUCAUAGGCAGAAUAUACCAACCUAAAACAGGACAUGAUCCUAUAAGCAUCAUGAUCCAAUAACAGGUAAGGAUAUUCUUGGCCUUGCGACAACCUAAGACAGGCACGACCCCUGCUGAGUCUUUCCUUCUACCAUAAAACAAAAAGGGGGAACUGUCGAGGGCGGAUGCUCCAGGGGCCCGGAGAUCCGUCAACCGCAGAGCUUUGCAAAAUGGCGCCUGGCAAUUUGCCAGAAGGUGUGUCUAGAGUGACUGAUCGUAAACAGGAAGUACUACCUAUUGGCUGUUGAACUAUUGCUAUGCUGUGGGUACUUGGUAACAAGCUUAAGAUUGGUGGAUGCAUAUCGCUGUCUAUGCUGAUUGGCUUAGCUCCCCUAUAUAAGCGAUGGCCAUAUGAAAUAAAGUAGUGCCCUUUUUUGAAACCCAAGUGAACGGAGAGUCGUUAUUAUCGCUGCUGGAUGGCGAUAGAUAUGAAGCUCUUUACAGUUCCUUUCAAGAUAAAGGAUUUUAUUCCACCAACAUACAUUAUUAUCAGUAGGAAGGAGGAGGCAUAGCAGAGAAGAAGCAUAAGGAGACAGAACAACCCCUAACUGGUUCUUCUGUGUCCUAGUGUUUCUGAUCUGUGCAAGCAUGUAAAGAUUAUAAGUGACAUACAAACUGUACAAUCUGGUUUUCUCUAAGCGGGUCACAAACUGAAAUAAAGUUCACAUCUUUUAGAUUCAGACAUCACUCCUUAUUGGCAAGUGAUUUGGGACUAGGGGAAAACUUUGGGGUGGGAUUAGAAAGACGAAAGCCAAAAACAAACAGACUAAAAAAGCCAGAAAGAAAGAGUGAGUGAGCAAAAGCCAUCUCAGACCCCAAGCAUCUUCUGACAUGUGAGGUUUUGAUGAGCAAUCUGUGUAUUAUAUUCCUUAUGAGU